rnacentral:rRNA from 1 species
GAUGAACGCCGGCGGCGUGCUUAACACAUGCAAGUCGAACGGUGAAGGCGGAGCUUGCUCUGCUGGAUCAGUGGCGAACGGGUGAGUAACACGUGAGCAAUCUGCCCCUGACUCUGGGAUAAGCGCUGGAAACGGCGUCUAAUACUGGAUACGAGCUGCGAAGGCAUCUUCAGCAGCUGGAAAGAAUUUCGGUCAGGGAUGAGCUCGCGGCCUAUCAGCUUGUUGGUGAGGUAAUGGCUCACCAAGGCGUCGACGGGUAGCCGGCCUGAGAGGGUGACCGGCCAAACUGGGACUGAGAAACGGCACAGACUCCUACGGGAGGCAGCAGUGGGGAAUAUUGCACAAUGGGCGAAAGCCUGAUGCAGCAACGCCGCGUGAGGGACGACGGCCUUCGGGUUGUAAACCUCUUUUAGCAGGGAAGAAGCGAAAGUGACGGUACCUGCAGAAAAAGCGCCGGCUAACUACGUG